AUCACAACACCUGACUGUGUUUUCACAGUGUUUUUCACCAUGUGGAAACUACCUAGUGAUCGGAAACAAUUAUGGCACUAUUUCUGUGUUCAACUUGAUGACUGCUUUGAGCUCAAAUGCAAAUGAGCAUCAUCGGAAGCCAUCCUUCUCUUAUCAAGCUUGCAGUGGACCGAUAUACUCAAUUGUUUCAUCAGAGUUGUUUCUAAUAUGUGCUGGUAGUGGAGAUAUUAAAGCAUACAAGUGGUCUGAUAUUUUACAAAAGGUAAGUU